AGCAGCCGCGGUAAUUCCAGCUCCAAUAGCGUAUAUUAAAGUUGUUGCAGUUAAAAAGCUCGUAGUUGAAUUUCGAGAUCGGUUUAUUGGUCGUGCUAUUGUACGUACUGGUAUUACCGGUUUCUCCUUUCUGACGAACCUUAAUGCCAUUAAUUUGGUGUUUUGGGAAAUCAGGACUGUUACUUUGAAAAAAUUAGAGUGUUUAAAGCAGGCUCACGCUUGAAUACAUUAGCAUGGAAUAACGGAAUAGGACGUUUGAUUCUAUUUUGUUGGUUUCUAGGAUCGACGUAAUGAUUAAUAGGGAUAGUUGGGGGCAUUAGUAUUCAAUUGUCAGAGGUGAAAUUCUUGGAUUUAUUGAAGACUAACUACUGCGAAAGCAUUUGCCAAGGAUGUUUUCAUUAAUCAAGAACGAAAGUUAGGGGAUCGAAGACGAUCAGAUACCGUCGUAGU
rnacentral:rRNA from 1 species